GAAAAUCCUAAGUGCACUCAUGCAUUCAUCUUACAUUAGUUUCCUAUGAUCUCAAGUCUUCCAAGCGUCUCGAUCUUGUAUCCAUUUGGUCCUUUGAUGAAUUUUCGAGUUUAUACCUGAGAUUCUUAAACAUUAAACCAAUUAGUUACUUAACCAUGGUUUGUUAUCAUCAAAACCCGAUUAGGAGAACCCUUGGGCUA
rnacentral:lncRNA from 1 species